AAAAAAUCUACCCGGCCCCUUGAAAGCACUGCAGAGGGGCUGAGGCUGUGCUGCAGGCUGGGUACACAGCCGAGGGUCCCCAGCUGAGAGUCACUGCCGACUGGCACCACCCACACUGGAUGGGCAGCUGGGACACCAGACAGAGAUCCUGGGCAGGCAGGGAUGCCAGGAGAAGAGAAGGAUGCAGGACAGGCAGGGAUGCAGGGCAGGCAGGGAUGCAGGGCAGGCAGGGAUCCCAGGAGAAGAGAGGGAUGCAGGACAGGCAGAGAUCCCAGAAGAAGGCAGAGAUGCAGGGCAGGCAGGGAUGCAGGGUAGGCAGAGAUGCAGGGCAGGGAUGCAGGGCAGGCAGGGAUCACAGGACAGCAGGGAUGCAGGGCAGGCGAGGAUUUUGGGCAAGCAGCACAGGGGUUUGGCUGCCACCACCCUGGGACCACAGAGGAAUGUGCACAAGCCACAAAUUCAGCUUUGCUCCACAGCCUGGACUUGGUGCAUGUAUUUAAGCUAAUCAGAAACAACUGAACCACCAAGAGACUAAUUUCUCCAGUGCUAACUGUCCACACUGGGAUCACUUCUGGGAAGGCUGUGGCAUCCUUCAGUUUGGUGAUGUGAGCCACCAGCUGAGCAAACUUUCCUGGAAAAAGAAAGUAAGCUGGAUAUCUUUGGCUGAGCAGUGACUCUGCCUACAAGGCUGAUCCACCAUGGCCCUUCCAGCCACACAGCACCACUGCUCAGCUGAUCAUGAACAUCUGAGUAAAGAUAAAGCUUAUUUCUUCCCCACUCCUGCCUCAGAACAUUCUGAUAGAAAUACU
rnacentral:lncRNA from 12 species